CAAGGUUCAUAUUAGCCCCAUCUCCCCAGGACAAGGUUCAUAUUAGCCCCAUUUCCCCAGGACAAGGUUCAUAUGUUAUCACAACAAUUCAAGACACUUCUUACCCUCAGUUUUCUACACAGUC